GACGAACGCUGGCGGCGUGCUUAACACAUGCAAGUCGAACGGAAAGGCCCUGCUUUUGUGGGGUGCUCGAGUGGCGAACGGGUGAGUAACACGUGAGUAACCUGCCCUUGACUUUGGGAUAACUUCAGGAAACUGGGGCUAAUACCGGAUAGGAGCUCCUGCUGCAUGGUGGGGGUUGGAAAGUUUCGGCGGUUGGGGAUGGACUCGCGGCUUAUCAGCUUGUUUGGGGGGUAGUGGCUUACCAAGGCUUUGACGGGUAGCCGGCCUGAGAGGGUGACCGGCCACAUUGGGACUGAGAUACGGCCCAGACUCCUACGGGCGGCAGCAGUGGGGAAUCUUGCACAAUGGGCGGAAGCCUGAUGCAGAAACGCCGCGUGCGGGAUGACGGCCUUCGGGUUGUAAACCGCUUUCGCAUGUGACGAAGCGUGAGUGACGGUAAUGGGUAAAGAAGCACCGGCUAACUACGUG
rnacentral:rRNA from 1 species